GCUGGGCGCAGUGGCUCAUGCCUGUCAUCCCAGUGGCUUGGGAGGCUGAGGCAGGAGGAUCUUGAGUUCAAAGCCAGCCUCAGCAACAGCAAAGUUCUAAGCAACUCAGUGAGACCCUGUCUCUA
rnacentral:sRNA from 1 species